rnacentral:lncRNA from 1 species
UUUUGCUUGAUGCAAUAAUGGGUUUCUGUUUUCUACUGUGUUUUAAUCUCUCAACACUUGUGGUGGGUCUAGACUGUAGAGAAAGAGUCUUCGUGUAGUAAAGAUUAAUGAGUUUUUUUUUCGAAGGACAAAAACAAGGGUAUGCCAAAGGAACUCUUGAAUUACAAAAAGAAAAGGAAGAAGGGACAGAGGAAGGAGGAGGAGAGAGAGUAGGAAUUAUAGAGAGAGCAUAGGUGGGCAUGAUUGAUGAUUGGUGAAGGUUAAAUACAUGUAUGAAUUGGUGGUUACUUGUAGGAGAGAGAGUUGGGUUUUGGGCAUUAUUUCAAUUUGAUUUGAUUUUGAUUAAUAUAUUUCGUGGAGACAGUAGAGUCUGAGAGAGAGACAGGGGAUUCCGAGAAGAGAGGAGGAAGUGUACAAUGGAUAUUCUUUUUCAGGUUGGGGUGAAAAUGGAAUAAUCGGAAGGAGUUCAAAGUAUAUGCUUGCUAUGCUACCACCAUUGCUGACUGAUUGAGGUGAGGUCCAAAUUCUAUCCUUACACGGUAGAGGGGAUAAUUUUCAAGAUUUUAGAAUUAUCUAUUAGAGGAGACUAUAAGCCACGUUUUACAUACUACUAUAAUUAAUUUAUUUUAUUAUGUUUUUUUUACUCUGAAUUUGUAGUUGAAUUAGGGUUUAAAUACGUUUGAUUCAACAAGCCCACCCACCUGUUUAAACCAUUUAUGUUUUUGUUUGUUUCUUGGUUACACUUCCCAACAUUUGGAAAUUUAAUUUUAUGGACUAAAGAGAUGUUGAAAUAUAUUACAUGCAAUUUGCAACCCAUUUAAGUCGAAAAAUAAAAUAUAUUUAACAUCAUAUAGGAGGCUCAACAAUCUCACAAAUAAUAAUAAUAGUAAUAAUAAAUAAAAAUUAUUAAUUUUAACAUUUUAUAUUGUCAUAUAAAAUGUAUUAAAGUAUAACUGUAUAUACACACAAAAAAAACAUCUAAAUAUAUUUUGACACUAAAAAUCAAUAAUUUUUUGAAUCAAAUAAUUUUUGACUUGCGUAUGUAAGAUCCAAACUUUUUAUAAAUAAAGAUUUAAUUUCUCUAAUUAUUAUUUUGAAAUAGUAAGGGUUGAUUUGAUUAAUGUAGUUAGUUAUGGAUAAAAUGCGCAAAUAUUUCAAAUAAGCAAGUAGUUAUAAAAUAUUCAUUGUUGUCGGGGAAUAUUCGUUUGGUCGUGGAAUAUUCGUACUGUCGGGGAAUAUUCGUACGACGGCGCAGCUAUGUGUGGGCCCCAUAACAGAAAGCGAUUGGAGGAAGAAAACGACAAAAAUAAGUUGUUGUUACCGUCAAUACUGUUGGAAUACCCGGUAGUUAAAACACAGUAAUACUCGUUGUUGCACAGUAACACACGGUAUUGCACCAAUUAUUGAUUCUUACGUAAGAAGGCACUACUCAAUAAUUGUUACAGUAGUUACUGUUCAGUAUUUUAUUUUAUUGAUUCAAUAAUUACUGCUUUGAUAUUUUAUAUUACUGUUGUUUCAAUAAUUGUCACUACACAGUAUUUUCCAUUAUCGGAGCAAUAAUUCUUAUUAUCUGAAUAAUAAUAUUAGAAAAUAUUAUUGGCAAUGUCUAGAAAGUUCUGUCUAAGAAGAGGUUUGGUCACCUAAUUGCGCGCCAGUAAGGAGAAAUCUUUAUUGGAAAGCCCCCUCUUUCUUUGGAACUGCCUGAUUGUUAAUAAUGUGAUUCUGUAAUAUUAUUUAUGAAUAAUUAAUUAUUGAUAUAUAUAAUGAGAAAAAUAUUGAUUUUAUGAGGAUAUAGAUGGAGGAAAAUUUUAAUGUGACAAUUGUUGAAAAUUAAUAUUUUAUCUUUUUCUUAUAAAAUAAUUCUUUUAAAUAUAUUAUUUUUACAAUGAAUGUGGGAUAUAUGAGUAUAUGAGGAGGAAGAGUAUUUUUGUUGCAUUAAAUGUUUAACACAUGUUUUGUGUGUUGGUGGACACAAUUAUUGACCGAAAUUUGAUUAUAGCCUGUAAAAUCGCCCGUUUGUGGAUUUCGGUCAAUUUCUGUUUGGAAUUUGGAAAAACUUUCUUCUGCAAAGUUGUAGAGAAUUGAAUUUCCUAUAAAAAGUCGCGAGAUUCGAAUUUUCUGAUAAAAGGGCUAUUUAUUAUGAAUUAUUGAAGUUCCGAAGUUCCGAAAUAAUUGAUUUUUGGAAGUUUAAAAUAUUUUUAAUUACAAAAACGUUUUUUUCAUUUUUGAAACUCAUUUAACAUGUGAUUAGGAGGCUGAAUUCAGAUUGUUAGUGUGCGUAUGAAGUUGUGGAAAAAUUAUAAUAUUAAUUUAUUAAAUUUUCUACUUUGGUGUUCUAAGCAUUUUCCUAUAAAUAGGGUGCUUAGGUUAGAAUUGAAAAUCACACCAGAAACUGAAGUUUUCUCUCUCUAUAUUAUCGAGCGUAUUCUUGUGAGUAUUUUGAGUAUACUUUGAGUAUUGCUAUACGGUGCAAGUUCAAGUCAUAGCCUAUAUCCGGUGUUUCAACUAGAAGUACUGUCUUUCGAGGUAAGGGAUGUUAUUUUAUUCGAAAAUGAUAUUAUUUCUUCAAUAUCAUUAUGCCGAAAUAUUGGUUGGAAAUUUUUAUCAAAUUUGGAACUUUUUCAUGUCGGGGUUACUAUUCAUGAGUUACUAUUCACGAGUUACUAUUCAUGAGUUACUAUUCACGAGUUACUAUUCACGAGUACUAUUCACGAAGCGUGAAGAUGUUUUUUGUGAAAUUUCUAUCUUUUGGUGUCGGAGUUACUAUUCACGUAUACGGCACUAUUCACGUAUACGGCACUAUUCACGAAUACGGCACUAUUCACCGAAAAAUGAAAUUUCUUCUUUUUGUCCAAAAUAUCUAUUAUGGAUACUAGCUUUGAUUGUAUCCAUGUUUUGAUCAUUCUUGAAUUUUACACCACUAUGAUUAUUUUUGAGGUAUUUUUGGACGUGGAUAAAACAAAGUACGAAUCCUUAAUCCUUAAUCCUUGUCAUUUUGUUUCACUGGAUUCGUUUCUUUAAAAAAAUUUUUCAUCAUCCUCAGUCUUAAAUGAUGAUAUUAUUGAAUAUCUUUGGCCUGUAGUGCAAAGAUGAAUGAUUUCUGAUGAAUAUCUUUGGCCCGUAGUGCAAAGAUGAACAGGUGUUUAGAUGAACAUGACCAACUGAUGAAUAUCUUUGGCCUGUAGUGCAAAGAUGAAUAUUUGAUUCCAGAUAUAUAUUGAUUGAUGUUACAGGGAUAAAAGAUAGACGAUGAACUUUUAAAUUCAUACAUAGAAGAUAGUAGUUUGCAUUCUCUACUUAACUCUUCUAAUGAAUUAUUAUUUCCGCUGCGAAUAUUGAUUUAAAACUUGUUGUCUAUUGUAUUCUAUUAGAUUUUUCCCUGUUGAAGACUAACGAUAAUUUGUUGUAUAUUAUCUUAGUCAUAAUAUUCUUUACUGGGCUAGUUGAGCUCACCCUUUUCCUUUUUGUUCCAUUUUUCUUCUCAGGAGGCGAGAAUAUAGCGAGUACGAGUCGGGGUAUGGAAUGAAGGUUCUAGAGAGAGUUGUUUAGUAGUCCUCACCAUUUUUGUAAAAUAAUGUAUCAAUAAAUGUGAUGAGGAUUUAUUUGAGUAUAGAUAUUGUCUAGAAGAUAAUAUUUGUAUUCAAACUCACAGUUUUACUGUUGUAAUAAUAAAGUUGUAGUUGUUUCUGUACCAUGUAUUGACAACUCAGAAUGGGUGAUGUAUACCUAUUUUGGGGGCGUCACAGUUGGUAUCAGAGCUUAGGGAUAUGAUCUCUGGCGGAGAUCGGGGAAUAGAACUAGGAGGGGAGAGACGAGUAAAUCCUUCGCUAGUGUGUCCUACCUAAGCUUAUUUGUUAGUUGGUCAGUAUAUAGGGAUAUUAUGUGAUAUAUUGAUUUCCUUAAUUAACCCUUGUUUUAUGACAGUAUUUGAGAAUGUCGACUGAGAAUAUUAACAGUGGAAAUGAGACCGUGGAGACGCCUGUACUCACCAACGAGGAGAACGUGCAACAGGCUGGCAAUGUUCCUCCUGUGAACAACACCACUGAGCAGAUGAUGAACGAGGGGAUGUUUAGAAGCUUUUUGCAGUUCAUGCAAAAUCAGACGAGGGAGACUCGUGUUCAAAAUACAGGAGGAAAUGAUAGCAAUUCACGGGUUGUCACAGCCAAGCAGUUCAAAGAGUUGGGACCACCAGAAUUUAAGGGAAAGCCAGAUCCGAUCAUGGCGGAAACAUGGGUCAAGCAAAUUACCAAGAUAUUCGAUGUCUUGGGAUGCACGGAGGAACAGAAGGUUCCAUUCGCCACCUUUAUGUUCCGUGGCGAGGCAGAUUACUGGUGGGAGUUUGUGAAACGGACCCAGCCUGCCACACUCCACAUGUCUUGGGAAACGUUUCAAAAACUUUUCAACGAAAAAUACUUUCCUGAAAGUAUUCGCCAUAUGAAAGAGGUAGAGUUUAUUAGACUAGAACAAAACAACAUGACGGUGUCCCAAUACGAGGCGAAGUUCGUAGAGUUAUCCAGGUUUGCACCUCAUUUGGUAGAGAAUGAGGAACGAAUGACGAGGAUGUUUAUGAGAGGUUUAAAACCCGAGAUUCGGCAAUAUCUUAUCUCUCAUAAAUUUUCUUUAUAUUCAGAUGUUGUAAACAGGGCUCAAUUAUUGGAGCGAGAUAACGAGUACGGUCAAUCGAGGGUCCACAACCAGGAUCAUACCGGGGAUAGCAGUCAACAAAACAACGAUAACCAACGGAGAAAGAAAAAGACAGACAAAAAUGGUAACCACUCUGGUGGUAAUCAUGGUCAUGAAAACAAAAGAAGCGAGUCAGGAGGAGAUUUUAAAAAGAGGAGAUUUAACAACAACCAUGUGAAGACGACAGUGCCGGCAGCAACUGGUUCUAAGGGAGGAGAACGACCACNNNNNNNNNNNNNNNNNNNNNNNNNNNNNNNNNNNNNNNNNNNNNNNNNNNNNNNNNNNNNNNNNNNNNNNNNNNNNNNNNNNNNNNNNNNNNNNNNNNNUUAAGAUGCCUACAUUAGCUAAAAACAUAAUACAUGCCAAUAUAUACGUUCUCCAUAUAUGGAAUCCAUCUCCAAAGACGUAGUCAAUGACUCUAUGAUGAUAAUAUAUUAUGGCGGCGGUAAAAACCACCAUACAUUUGAUAAAACAACAUAAAUCAACUUACAGUGACAAGAACAUGUUAAAAAUAACUUUUUUAAUUAUUGCUGGUAAAAAUUGGCAACGAUUUUAGAACAAUAACAUAAAACGAUACAGCUACUGAACUACAUCAUUUAGUACAGCAAUGCCGUGCCAUUGCUAAGAAAAGCACCAAACUAGUUUCAAAAAACUAGAGGGGGAUACACAGACAUUAUAAUUUACAAAGAAAUCCUCAAAAUUGCACCUAACUAAAAUUCCUACCAACUUAUUUAAUGGACAGCGUCUCAUCAAAGUAUCAAGGUCACAAAAAAGGUCAUUGUUUAACCUCAAAUUUGAAGUCAACUCCUCUAACACAAUAAAGCUUCAACCAACUCAAAAUCAAAACACAAGCUUCAUCAGCAACAAGAGCAAAUAGAAUUGAUUAUGAUGGAAUAAAAUGUACUAAAAUUAAUUUGUAACUAAUAAAAAAAAGCAGAUUUAGACACUCACGCAAAAGGAGAGGGCUCUACAAAGAGAGCUAUACGCCUAGGUCUUGAAGUGAUCUCUGAUUCAAGAAAAGGAGGAGGAUUUUCUUCUUCCUCCUCUUCCCUUAUCUCUGUAAUGGUCAUUUUGCUUGAUGCAAUAAUGGUUUUCUGUUUUCUACAGUGUUUUAAUCUCUCAACACUUGUGCUGGGUCUAGACUGUAGAGAAAGAGUCUUCGUAUAGUAAAGAUUAAUGGGUUUUUUUUUCGAAGGACAAAAACAAGGGUAUGCCAAAGGAACUCUUGAAUUACAAAAAGGAAAGGAAGAAGGGACAGAGGAAGGAGGAGGAGGAGAGAGAGUAGGAUUUAUAGAGAGAGCAUAGGUGGGCAUGAUUGAUGAUUGGUGAAUGCUAAAUACAUGUAUGAAUUGGUGGUUACUUGUAGGAGAGAGAGUUGGGUUUUGGGCAUUAUUUCAAUUUGAUUUGAUUAAUAUAUUUCGUGGAGACAGCAGAGUUUGAGAGAGAGACAGGGGAUUCCGAGAAGAGAGGAGGAAUGGAUAUUCUUUUUCAGGUUGGGGUGAAAAUGGAAUAAUCGGAAGGAGUUCAAAGUAUAUGCUGCUACCACCAUUGCUGACUGAUUGAGGUGAGGCCCAAAUUCUAUCCUUACACGGUAGAGGGGAUAAUUUUCAAGAUUUUAGAAUUAUCUAUUAG